UACGUAGGUCCCGAGCGUUGUCCGGAUUUAUUGGGCGUAAAGCGAGCGCAGGUGGUUUAUUAAGUCUGGUGUAAAAGGCAGUGGCUCAACUAUUGUAUGCAUUGGAAACUGGUAGACUUGAGUGCAGGAGAGGAGAGUGGAAUUCCAUGUGUAGCGGUGAAAUGCGUAGAUAUAUGGAGGAACACCGUUGGCGAAAGCGGCUCUCUGGCCUGUAACUGACACUGAGGCUCGAAAGCGUGGGGAGCAAACAGG
rnacentral:rRNA from 1 species